rnacentral:rRNA from 1 species
CCUACGGGAGGCUGCAGUGAGGAAUAUUGGUCAAUGGACGAGAGUCUGAACCAGCCAAGUAGCGUGAAGGAUGACUGCCCUAUGGGUUGUAAACUUCUUUUAUAAAGGAAUAAAACGAGGCACGUGUGCCUUUUUGCAUGUACUUUAUGAAUAAGGAUCGGCUAACUCCGUGCCAGCCGCCGCGGUAAUACGGAGGAUCCGAGCGUUAUCCGGAUUUAUUGGGUUUAAAGGGAGCGUAGAUGGGUUGUUAAGUCAGUUGUGAAAGUUUGCGGCUCAACCGUAAAAUUGCAAUUGAUACUGGCAGUCUUGAGUACAGUUGAGGUAGGCGGAAUUCGUGGUGUAGCGGUGAAAUGCUUAGAUAUCACGAAGAACCCCGAUUGCGAAGGCAGCUUACUAAACUGUGACUGACAUUGAUGCUCGAAAGUGUGGGUAUCAAACAGGAUUAGAUACCCUUGUAGUC